GAUUUAGGGGCUGGAAGGAAGUGUUCAGGAAGCAGAGUUUUCCCUACCCAACCUGUUUGUCAGUCUGGGAGGAGUUCCUGGCCUGACUUUCUUGGGGACAAUGUUCAGCUUCACCUUGGCCAACUUCAAAAGGAAGAAUACAUGUAAGAGUCUUUCUUCGGGCCCAGAAGGACUACCUGGAGUACUCUUACCUGGGCCCAAGGAGCAUGAACAAGCAUAGAGGGGAGUUACUCUACCUUCUUUUUAGAAAGACAACCAUGUGGAGGCAGACACAUGGGGAGAAUGCCAUGUGCUGAUGAAGGCAGAGAUGGAAGUGCUGCUGCCACAAGCCAAGGAACACCCAGGAUUUCUGGAAGGCCUCCAGGAGACUGGGGAGGCAGAGAAGGAUUCUCUACAGGUUGCAGAGGGAGUACAGCCUUGCCCAUACCUUGAUUUCAACUUCUAUUAUCCCAAAC